UCAGUGUAGAGUAUCUUCGUGCCUGCCACACGAUAUACACAUGCAAAAUGGUCAUUGGCAGAGGAAGCUCUCAGUUAAUAACUGUGGAAGUGCUCAUAGAACACUAAGCUGAGAAGCAGGCUUUGUCCCAGUGAGGACGUUACGCCAAGAAGAGGAGAGGAGGAGAGAACAUGUUAUUAGUAAUGGCUACUAUGUUUUCCUUGCAAUUACCAUGGUUUGACGAUCAAGCGCAUAGUAAUCAAUACUAUGUGGUUAUCUUGAUAACGCUGUUCGUGAUUGUCAGAACCAUGCAAUGACAAAAAAUGAUCACACAUUUUGUUGUGUUUACUACAUUAUAGUUGAUAUUGCCAUGACUUAGUGACACGACACAUGGUAAUCUUAACUACAUGUUUUAGUCAAAAUAUCCUCAACACAUCAUCACGCGCCGCAAGUCUUGACUUGUUUUUUGAUUGAACUGCAAGGUUUACUAGCUAAAACCGAGAAUAGAAUCAUAGACCAAUUUUAUGGAACUGUGAAAAAUCAUGAUGAACCCAAAUGUUCCCAUCAGUAUUUCGGAUACCACUUUCCGAGGCGAAAUCUAGGUACUUCAAAAUUGACCGAAUCUCCGCUUCCACCGGUGGCAACCGAAGCUAUUCGCCAGUAUGAAUGAUCCCCUCUUUUCAUUUCAUACGCAAUGGUAUACCAUAAAGCAGAUCCAGAAGCAUGUAAUCCGCCAAAGCAUAAAGCUCCUGCAGUGGUUCCUGCCCAGAGAGAGUUCUGCAGGGAGGAUGUUCUCGCACAUGCACAUAAUUGCUUGGCCAGCUAGGAAGAUACCCUUGGAACCCCCUUAUACAAGCGGUUUACCCGUCUAUUUUUUCCCCUCGGAAAACCUUCUUUCGCCUGUACUGUAUCCAGCACAAGAUCCCGAACAACGUCGCUCAACAGACAGCCUUCCCGCAGAACUACUGUCUGAAUCCGGACAUAAUUCUGAGGUCGGCGUCGGUGGUGUAGUGGUAAGCGUGGUUGCCUCUCACCCCAGUCGGUCGGGGUUCAAUUCCCGUCGACGCCGAUGGGAUUUUCUGAGACAUAAAAUCCGUGAUCACGUCUUCCCUCGGAUAGGAAGUAAAGCCGUACGUCCCGGUUGAUGGGUUCGAUAUGUAGGGUCCUCAGGUGUGGUGGGUGUCUCCCUGGGGCGUCGGAAUUUAAGGCUUAGCUCCUAGACCCAGCCGACGUAAAACACAACUGGCGCCGAACGGUGCUACUUGGCCAGAAAAAAGAAGAAGAAGAAGAAGAAGAAGGACAUAAUUCUGCAGCUGGAUCCUCAUAAAACACGCCUUUUCCCAUCUUCACAUCUGUGGCAAUCUCCGCCUCGACCGUAUGCCCAAAAUAAGGUGUCUAAGUUUGUUAUUAUAUAAGUAUAUGAAUGUUAAUAUUUGAAAUCAAUAAAUUCAAUUAAAUUCG